GAUGAAGAACGUAGUGAAAUGCGAUGAGUAAUGUGAAUUGCAGAAUUCAGUGAAUCAUCGAAUCUUUGAACGCACAUUGCGCCCCCUGGUAUUCCGGGGGGCAUGCCUGUCCGAGCGUCAUUACAACCCUCAAGCUCAGCUUGGUGUUGGGCCCCGCCGCCCCGGCGGGCCCUAAAGUCAGUGGCGGUGCCGUCCGGCUCCGAGCGUAGUAAUUCUUCUCGCUCUGGAGGUCCGGUCGUGUGCUCGCCAGCAACCCCCAAUUUUUUUCAGGUUGACCUCGGAUCAGGUAGGGAUACCCGCUGAACUUAAGCAUAUCAAUAAGCGGAGGA
rnacentral:misc_RNA from 1 species